CAAGGUUUUUUACAAGAAACGAAUUAUCUUCAAGACACGGCACAUCUUUGUUUUUGGAUAAUAACACAGUGUGGGUAGAGUUUUUGCACUAGUAAGGUGCUGCUUUUAUAUUAUUGCACAUUUUCUUUAAACUAAUAAUUUUUAGCGCCAUCUUUUACUUGUUUAUAUUUGUAAAAAAUCCCACAAACCAAGGAGAGGGUUAAAUGAAGGCAGUCUGAUUUCUCUUCAAUGUUUUGGAGUGUCUUAUGGACAAAUAUAAUGUUGUUUUGGGUGUUUUUGGGGGACACUAUGAAACUCUCCUGCUACAGUUAAUGCUUCACAUGAGUACCGCUAAAAAUUCCCACUAUGUCAAAAAGAGCAGAUAAACAUGUGAUUCUUGGUUUGUUGGGUUUUGUUUUUUAUUUAUUUAUUCCUUUUUUUUUUUUUUAAGUUUGUGAAAAUCACACAAAAAAAGAACCUGAAUAGUCAUAUGACCUAUGUUAAGGCUUUUGUCAUACCAUAUAGUAUAGGCUAAUAAUCUGUAGCAGAGUACCUUAUUGCCUUAUCUAUGAUUUAAGCGGUCCUACAAUCCUAUGUAGUAAGUUUUAAUUUUAUUUUUAAAAUAAAUAAAUAUAUACACACACACACCUCCCCUUCCCUCCCCCUCACCAAAUUCAGAGUAGGAUUUGACAGGUAAAUAACUUUUUGGUUAAUAGUACUACCUGCUGCCUGCUCGUAUUACAUGUUCAGGUGAGUGCAGCCUCUUGGUUUCAUUUAUAUAUUUGGGAGUCCAGGCCAACUCCCUGGUUUUGCACCCCUCCCUGUUACAGAUGCCUCAUUCCAGGACCCUAUUAUCCUUGACUUGCAGUGAGUCCUAGGAGGAAGCAUUUUCCAAGUAAGUGGAUUAAUUUCAUAAGAGCAAGCAUUAGGCUAAUAGAGUAGGACCUGCCAAGAAUGGGAUACACUGACAUUUUGGCAGGCUUAUACAGUGUAUGAUCAUAUACUGUAACUAAAACCCCUAUAAUUUUUGCGUAGAUUAGGU